rnacentral:tRNA from 1 species
CUUAGGUAAGUUUUUAAAAAUAGUUACUUUGGGUGUAACAGAUAUAGAAAUUUUUCUAUACCUUUGA